GCCUGGGUGGCAUAGUGGUUAAAAGCGCUUGGCUGCUAACCAAAAGGUCAGUGGUUUGAACCCACCAGACGCU
rfam:Loxodonta africana unplaced genomic scaffold scaffold_7, whole genome shotgun sequence.